rnacentral:lncRNA from 1 species
GCAAAACUGUGUAAAUUUACUAAAACUCACUGUGUUAUUCCCUUUAGGUACGUGAAGUUUGUGGCAAGCAAAUUAUACCUUAGUAAAGCCAUUUAAAAAAUGUAGUGCAAGUGUGACCGUAAGUCACGGAGGAAAGGGUAUGCAGUCAUUUUUUUCUACAACAGUAAGCAACAUCCCCUCUCUUUCCCUGUUCCGCGUCCUGCCUACAUGUCCUGCCUGGUCGCCUGGCUCCUCCACGUGCACUUGAUGCUCCAGCCAGAUAGACUGUGCACACCUGGGCAGAGGGAGUGCUGGACCUGGCUUCAGUUUCCCUGGUAACCAACCUCAGCCCUUAGCUUCAACCUCUGAGCACAGGAAGACAGCCAGAGUGGGGAGGGGUGUUGUCUCACCCACAGGGCCCCUGCCGGAGCUGAGCACCCCAAUGGGAUGAGUGGCAGCACGGUUACCAAGACAACAGAACUCUCGACCCCUUUCCACCUGCAAGGCUCUUCUCCCUCUCCUGGGCCUGCCGAGCAUCAGGUCGGAAAGGUAAAGCUGUGGCAUAACCACCCUCCUAAGUCCUUGAAAUUGCUCUAGACGUGGCUGUAGAAUAAAUAUGUCAAAAGAUGCUCUUGAAAGAGAAGGCAACCCCUACUUUUUUUUUCCCAAUUCAUUAACUACAAACAAGGCUAUGAAGUCCAAGGUUAUAUUUAAAAAUCAGGGCAGGUGAAAGGGAGUGUGUGCUUAUGUCUCUCAACGUCAGCUGUGCAUCAGGUCUCUCGUGGAGCAUUUGUCCAAGAGCAAAUGCCGGACCCCAUCCCCAGAGAGUCUGACUUAGCAGGUCUGGAAUGUGGC